rnacentral:lncRNA from 1 species
GGCUGGAGCAGCCUGACCAAGUCCCACUUGCUGUUCUGCCAGGGAGCCUGAUUUUGGCACUGGUGUAUUUCCAGAACCAAGGUUUUGGCAGUUAUGAAUAGACGUGCUUUGGUUGUGUGAACAUAAAUAUUUCACUCCUUUGGGUGAAUACCAAGGAGCACCGUUGCUAGACUACAUGCAAGAAGAUGAGAAAGCUGUGAGGACACUCAGUCUUCCACGGGGUGGAUACUAACCAAAAUCACAAGCAGCUUGAGCUGGAAGGACCUGGGAGCCGGGAGAGAUGCCGGAGGAGUCCCGCGCGCUGCCUGUCACAGCUGUGUGACUUCGAGACAGGGCUCUGGCCCCCUGGGCCUCAGUGUCCUCCCCUGGAAAAUGGCUCAUUCAUUUCUCAGGCUGGAGUGCAGUGGCUAGAGCUCGCUGUUACUUCAAACUCCUGGGCUCAAGUGUGUGCCACCAUGCUCUGCACCCAGGCUGGAGUGCAAUGGCGCCAUCUCUGCUCACUGCAACCUCCGCCUCCUGGGUUCAAGCGAUUCUCCUGCCUCAGCCUCCUGAGUAGCUGGGAUUAAAGCUGCCUGCCACCUGCACAGACGGGAUCUCGCUAUGUCACCGGGCGCCAUGGCUCAAGCCUGUAAUCCCAGCACUUUGGAAGUCCGAGGCGGGCGGAUCACGAGGCCAGGAGUUCAAGACCAGCCUGGCCAAUAUGGUUGAUCCUUCUAGUCUCGUGGCAGAACUUUGUAGACACCAAGCGAGCGGGGCAGCGUGUUCUGGACCUCAUUCCUCACACAGGGCUCACCUCCGGAUGAGUCAGAGGCCUUAGCCGGUGGCCCAGCCCCGGGAAUGCCACCCCGGUUCUGUACCCUGCCCAGGCCAGCUGACAGGGUGUAUUGGGGCACACACCUGCAGCAUCCAGGGCACUCCAAGGAGAGGGACGUACUUUUGAGGAGAGUCUAAAAGUCUAAGUCCCCCACCUGAACUUGGUGGGGGAAGGGCUUCUAUACCAGGAGGGCUCCCAGCCCUGUUUCUUAAAGGCCAUUUAGGCAGAAGUGAACGUGGUCUCUUCAAUAAAGUUAAUAAUGGUUCAUGCUGCAG